GGUGUAGCGUGAUUAUCACACGGUCGUGACCAGGUCCACGGUUUAUAUAUGUUUUUCAAAACCUGCCCAAAUGCUUAUUCUUUGUCCAAUAUUUGCAAAAUUUUGCAUAUUUAAUUCUCAAAGACAGCUUUUGUAACUUACAUAAUUUGAUUUUGAUUUUAUAUUCCUGAAAUUUAAAUAUAUUGAUUUGAAUAUGCCCAAUUUGACGUAUUUUACCGGCUUUUAUGGUGCUUCUAAAAAAACCUGCAGAACACAGUAACUUAUCUUUUUCACGGAUCAGAUUGUCUUAAAACUUGCUAGAGGUGUUAAAUAUUGUGCAUGGGACUGUUGUUUGUGAAUAGCUACUCAAAAUAAUAAGAUUUACACGCUCUGAAAAUGACCUUUUUGUCUAAAAAUCUACGAAAAACAUGGCCGCGGUGUGCAAAUAAUGAGUUGCUUAUUUCAAAACUGUCCUAUUAUUUUUCAGUAAAACUUCUUGUUAAUUUAAGACUCUAAUAACUUGCUUGACAUACCCAUAGGCAGAUAUCUGUUAUCAGUGUAAUUACACCUUUGGAGAAAAGCGUGAUUCGCACGUUUUAAUUUCAUCAUUCGCCGCCUGGAGAGACAAGAUGGCGGAGCUUGCGAAAUCGAAAAUUGGUACUUGAAAGUCAAUGGUUGAUCAUGCUGACCAUCUUUAAUUUAAUGGGGAAAGAUUAACCAAUAUCUGCAGCUGGACAGGCUGUCACCACAGUUCAAUGAUUUAGUUAAGACAAUGAAAUCGAAGAACUUCAUGCUAACACUUGCAUCAGUGGAAGUACUUCUUAUUGGAUAGAGAACUUUUCAAGGUCAGUGAUAUUUGUAAUGUUUUAUAUCAAUAUUUUGUUUUGCCUUUUUAGCUCACCUGUCACAAACCUGCAA